GAAAGCUCCGGCAGUACGGGAUGGGCCCGCGUCUGAUUAGCUUGUUGGCGGGGUAACGGCCCACCAAGGCUGCGAUCAGUAGCCGGCCUGAGAGGGCGGCCGGCCACAUUGGGACUGAGACACGGCCCAGACUCCUGCGGGAGGCAGCAGUGGGGGAUAUUGCACAAUGGGGGGAACCCUGAUGCAGCGACGCCGCGUGAACGAAGAAAUAUUUCGGUAUGUAAAGUUCUAUCAGCAGGGAAGAAAAUGACAGUACCUGACCAAGAAGCCCCGGCUAACUACGUGCCAGCAGCCGCGGUAAUACGUAGGGGGCGAGCGUUAUCCGGAUUCACUGGGCGUAAAGGGAGCGCAGGCGGCACGGCAAGUCCGGUGUGAAAGCCCGGGGCCCAACCCCGGGACUGCACUGGAAACUGCCGGGCUGGAGUGUCGGAGGGGCAGGCGGAAUUCCUAGUGUAGCGGUGAAAUGCGUAGAUAUUAGGAGGAACACCGGUGGCGAAGGCGGCCUGCUGGACGACGACUGACGCUGAGGCUCGAAAGCGUGGGGAGCAAACAGGAUUAGAUACCCUGGUAGUCCACGCCGUAAA
rnacentral:rRNA from 1 species